rnacentral:rRNA from 1 species
CUUCCGUUAAUUGAUUAUGACGUGCUUGCACUGAAUGAGAUUUUAACACGAAGUGAGUGGCGGACGGGUGAGUAACACGUGGGUAACCUGCCCAGAAGCAGGGGAUAACACCUGGAAACAGAUGCUAAUACCGUAUAACAGAGAAAACCGCCUGGUUUUCUUUUAAAAGAUGGCUCUGCUAUCACUUCUGGAUGGACCCGCGGCGCAUUAGCUAGUUGGUGAGGUAACGGCUCACCAAGGCGAUGAUGCGUAGCCGACCUGAGAGGGUAAUCGGCCACAUUGGGACUGAGACACGGCCCAGACUCCUACGGGAGGCAGCAGUAGGGAAUCUUCCACAAUGGACGCAAGUCUGAUGGAGCAACGCCGCGUGAGUGAAGAAGGGUUUCGGCUCGUAAAGCUCUGUUGUUAAAGAAGAACGUGGGUGAGAGUAACUGUUCACCCAGUGACGGUAUUUAACCAGAAAGCCACGGCUAACUACGUGCCAGCAGCCGCGGUAAUACGUAGGUGGCAAGCGUUAUCCGGAUUUAUUGGGCGUAAAGCGAGCGCAGGCGGUCUUUUAAGUCUAAUGUGAAAGCCUUCGGCUCAACCGAAGAAGUGCAUUGGAAACUGGGAGACUUGAGUGCAGAAGAGGACAGUGGAACUCCAUGUGUAGCGGUGAAAUGCGUAGAUAUAUGGAAGAACACCAGUGGCGAAGGCGGCUGUCUGGUCUGUAACUGACGCUGAGGCUCGAAAGCAUGGGUAGCGAACAGGAUUAGAUACCCUGGUAGUCCAUGCCGUAAACGAUGAUUACUAAGUGUUGGAGGGUUUCCGCCCUUCAGUGCUGCAGCUAACGCAUUAAGUAAUCCGCCUGGGGAGUACGACCGCAAGGUUGAAACUCAAAAGAAUUGACGGGGGCCCGCACAAGCGGUGGAGCAUGUGGUUUAAUUCGAAGCUACGCGAAGAACCUUACCAGGUCUUGACAUCUUCUGCCAACCUAAGAGAUUAGGCGUUCCCUUCGGGGACAGAAUGACAGGUGGUGCAUGGUUGUCGUCAGCUCGUGUCGUGAGAUGUUGGGUUAAGUCCCGCAACGAGCGCAACCCUUAUUACUAGUUGCCAGCAUUCAGUUGGGCACUCUAGUGAGACUGCCGGUGACAAACCGGAGGAAGGUGGGGACGACGUCAAAUCAUCAUGCCCCUUAUGACCUGGGCUACACACGUGCUACAAUGGAUGGUACAACGAGUCGCGAAACCGCGAGGUUUAGCUAAUCUCUUAAAACCAUUCUCAGUUCGGACUGUAGGCUGCAACUCGCCUACACGAAGUCGGAAUCGCUAGUAAUCGCGGAUCAGCAUGCCGCGGUGAAUACGUUCCCGGGCCUUGUACACACCGCCCGUCACACCAUGAGAGUUUGUAACACCCAAAGCCGGUGGGGUAACCUUUUAGGAGCUAG